rnacentral:rRNA from 1 species
AACGAACGCUGGCGGCGUGCCUAAUACAUGCAAGUCGAGCGCAGGAAGCUGACGGAACUCUUCGGAGGGAAGGCAGUGGAAUGAGCGGCGGACGGGUGAGUAACACGUAAGGAACCUGCCUCAAGGAUUGGGAUAACUCCGAGAAAUCGGAGCUAAUACCGGAUAGUUCAACGGACCGCAUGGUCCGCUGAUGAAAGGCGCUUCGGCGUCACCUUGAGAUGGCCUUGCGGUGCAUUAGCUAGUUGGUGGGGUAACGGCCCACCAAGGCGACGAUGCAGAGCCGACCUGAGAGGGUGAUCGGCCACACUGGGACUGAGACACGGCCCAGACUCCUACGGGAGGCAGCAGUAGGGAAUCUUCCACAAUGGACGAAAGUCUGAUGGAGCAACGCCGCGUGAGUGAUGAAGGUUUUCGGAUCGUAAAACUCUGUUGUAAGGGAAGAACACGUACGAGAGGGAAUGCUCGAACCUUGACGGUACCUUACGAGAAAGCCACGGCUAACUACGUGCCAGCCGCCGCCGUAAAAC